rnacentral:rRNA from 1 species
AUGACAUUGCCUCAAUUGCAUGUAAUGGCUAUUCUCCAAAAUAAGAUUGUUGCUUACUUUGCUUACCACCAUCUCAUCCCAGGCCCUCUAGCUAUAGUCAUGGAAAAGAUGGUGUUCGGAGCUAUAUCUUGGAAAAUAUUUCUUGUCAUUCCAUUAAAUUUCGGAGAUAUGGAGGAGCUGGACAUGGAUGGCGAGAAGGCGGCCAGACCAGAGUUCGCCUACCCCUACUGCUAUGAGGACCAUGAGGUUGCCUCCUUGUGCGCGCAUGUAGAAGAGGAGCACCCAUUGGAGUGGAGAUAUAGUUUGCACAAUGUUCUGGUCCAGCAAAGUAUUUUAGAUGUGCAAAAGAGUAGUGUCUUGGGGUAG